UCAUCGUCGCCUCUCCUCCCCUCAGCUCACCUCACCUGAGAUUUCAAAAUUCAAUCAGACCGUUGUCCAAAAUCUGCAGUGCAUAUCGCGAAUUUGGGGUUUGAAGCUCUGCCUCUAGCGUUGAGUCCCAGUCUCAGUCUCUGUGUCUCCCAGUCCCAGUCCCAGUCCUCUCCUCUCCCUCCCCUUGUAGCGUGCGGCAAAGGCAAUUCGAAACGAUCACCUACUCUCCAUGGCAAUCGAAGGGAGAAGAGCUCACCUCCGCCUUGGAGAGACCGAGGAUCGGGAAACUGAUAGGCCACUAUCGCAACCGGGGCCAAGAGCUCCGAAUCCCUUUCUAUCGCUCUCAGGUACUCCCAUCAAGCACAACCCCAAGCCCAAGCCUUCUCUAGCCACAACCAGCAGCCCGUCAGCUUCUGUCCGCAGAGUCAGAAAGAUUCUGGUUGACAUAACUACCAAGAUCGUUGAAAACGACUGCUCUGACAUCCCUACUGCCCAGAAGAUACUGAACCACAUUGAAUCUGUGGAGAAGGAGUUCAUGGAUGAGCUGAAAAAUCUAAAGAACAAACCGAGUGCUAAGAAGGCGGAGCGAGAAAAGAAAGUCCGCAUUUUAAUGUCAAUGCGUUAGUGAACCGCUCACAGCUAUUGGAUACCGGAGGGAAAACUGUGACGUGAGAGAGAUUGGAAAUUGAUUGAGGUGAACGUACCCAAGACAAAGAGGACCUACUACAAGAGCAAGGAGUGCAGGAAACACACCUCCGGCCGGAGCUCUCCCCUCCCCCGAGCAGCACCUUGCCAAACGAAAGGGCUCACGCGGGAAGCCCCAUGAGCAACUAUAGCAUUCCCAUUUUUUCCACUCAACGGAGUUACGAAGGCGAUAAAUGUGAAACAAGUUAACUUCUGCCACCAUCUCUCGUCUCUCAUCUCCAGUGUUGCGUGCGGCAGCAAGAAGAGACGAUCACCUACUCACCAUGCUAAGUAACUAAACCAGGGCUCUCUGCAUCUCUCUCUUUCUUUUUCCUCAAUUUUCGGAUGGUAUUGUAUUGCUGCUUCAGGAAGAUCAAUCAAUUCCAGGAUUCGAAUCUUCUUCACGUUGGAACUUGAUAGUAAACAAGUAGAGGAAUGCAGUAUCACUGCCCUUUUUUUUUUUUGGGAGUCGGUCUCUAAUCGAUCUAGUUCACAAUAGCAGAAAUCAGGGUUUAGGAUAGGAAGGCAACGUAAAAUUUUGCAACAAGCUUUUAGGAGGCUAGGAUUGGUUUGUGUAAUAUUGGUGGUUAACUAGCUAGCUUCUGCUGGUAUCUGUUUGUAGUGCUGCUGCAUCUUCUGUCCUAGUUAGUAUUUUUGCAUUAUCUUAUUAUCCCAUACUAUUGAUCGGGGAGACUGGGAGGGAUAACUGUGACAGAAGUUGAAAUUGAUUGAGGGAAGCAUACUCUUUUUCGGUAGACAAAAUCAGUGUUUGAGCUGCUUUGACCCGAGGGAAUUGAUUGCUUUUACUGACUCUCUGCACAUUGCAUUGCAUUUACAACCACGGUUGGUUGGAACAGCAGGACUUUAGGGUUUUGUCUGCUGUUGUAAACAUGGUAUGUGCUCAGUCACUAACAUUACCUGUUUUACUCAUGGUAAUAAAUCUCGCCCUGUACUAAAUCUUUACUAGUUGAACAAAUUCUAAGGAAAGUUUGUAAUGAUGUGUAUCUGCUUAUAGUAUGUAGAGCGUCCGCUGAUAAUGAUUAUGCUCUUUUGGAAUACACUUGUACUUUCAAUUGUAUGCAGCUUUUCGCAGAAUAUAGAGAGUCCGCUGUUAAUAAUCUGCUCUUUUGCAUAAUAAUAAAGUCCCCCUUAAGCAGCAUCAAACGUUCCAUUUAGAUUCACCUUCUCCCUCCGUGUUUCUCUGAGGAAAAGCUCACCUUUAACUUGCUCCUGCAAAGCCAUUUUCAGCAGUCACUGAGUUUAGUUCACUGCGUAAUUAGUGUUCUUAAGCAUCAUUUCCUUCUGGCUGAUGGUGAUGUUUGGUCAAAAUCAGAACCUUUUGGUGUUCUGGUUGAAAAGUAUAAAAUCUUUCAAAGGGGGUUCAUCGUUACAGGUACUGUUACAAGGAAGCAAUGCAUCUUUUGAAGUUUCGUGAUCAUGCUUUGAUAGUAAUAGCAAGAAUAUGUGCUUGACACUGAAAGGAUAAUCAUCAUGCUGCUGAUAUUUGGUCAAAAUGGAAACUUUUCAAUAAACUCACUGAAAUGCCAUAGUCUUUUCAAUGGUGUUCAACGUUUGGAGACUUGAUACAUGAUUUGGAUAGUUUCAUUUAAAUGGAAUCAGAACCUUUCUUUCUAGGUCCAUAAUCAUGUUAUGAAGUCAACAAUGAGUAUUUGACGCUGAGAGGGUAACUGUCUCCUUCUUUUCUUUUUCUCCAUGAUAGGUAAACCAGAGUAUCUGCCUUUGCUAGAUGAGUUCUUUCAAGUGUGAUUCGUUCUGUGUACAUGAAACCGAAUUUCUAUGGAUUAAUUGAAAAACUUCAGUUUGACGGCUUACUUAUCUGUGGAAUUUCAUAAUAUACUUCUCCAUUCACAUUCUAAUUAUGGAAUUGAUUUGAAAGAUAGAGAUAUUGAUUCUAUAUAUCUCUGCCCCGAGAAACAUUCGUAAACCAUAUUGUGUGUGUAAAAUGCCGGAUUCUUUUGGAUUCUCCCCUUUAAACAAAAAAAGAAGGAAAAAGAAGAGACUGAAUGUUGGUUCUUAUGCUGCUGAGAAUUUCAAUGCCAUCUGCAAAAGAAUUUAAAGUCAGAAGCAUGAGCUUCAGUUAAUUGAAUAACUAGCUAUUUUCUUCAUUAGUUACGAUUUACAUGACAGUUGGCAACCCAGUUCCUGGCUGUUAGUAGAGGUCGGGAACAAAAGUGGUUUUUAACUUUUUCCAUUUCGGUGGUAUUAUUUGUUUUGUUCAUCAAUAUCACUGCCAUAUCGAGGUAUGAUUUUUCUUUCAUCAUUUGCUCAUUCAUCAUUGUAUAUAAUACAUGUAUAUUCAUAUUUUAGAGCAGGUCAUUACGCAAUGCCAGUUGAGAAUUGGCAGGAACCCAGUGAAAUGCGAGUCUUAGUUUAUUAUUCUCGAUCACAUGCUGUCAACUUCUCUCCGCAGCUAAUUGAACUUUACUUAAUGCCAGUUAUUGCUCUAAGGCCGACUCAUGUAGUAGCAUACUCUGGCUAAAUAGAUUGGACAUGUGAGGCAUGAAACCUAGAUCACGUUGUGAUAUUGAAGUAGUUUAUAUGUAGAUCCUGUGAGGAUGGAUGGAUGGUUUAAAAACCUAGGAGAUGAAGAGUCACGGUUAGGUGACCUCCCCCUAUACUAAAAGGCAUUAUGCCUGAUUGAUCAGAUGUUAGUCAGGUCCCAUUAUAAAUAUUGUGGUUCUGUCCUAGAAUUUGCAUGUUUAAGGAUUAACUACCUCUGAUUGAAACUCCAUGGAUUUUAUGCAUCCUUGAUUUAUUGCCAUUUUCUCAAGCUAGAUAUUCGCGGACACUCAUUUGUUAUCUGUCAUUCCUCAAUUACCUCUAGAAUUCACAUUAGUUGCUUCUAUGGAUAUGGGCAGAAUGCUAAUUCGGUUUGGAAGCCAGCAAACUGAUGUCUGCUUGUAUUUGUUUCUGCUUUUGAUAUUGAUUGCUGCUAUAUUGAGCUUAAGCAUAUCUGUGGAGCGGCAUUACAGUAUCUUUGAAGGGGCAGAUAUAUGUUACGCCUUUCAAUUCCUUCUAUGUAUUCCUGGCAAAUACUGGUCGUUGUAGCGCACAGACUGUGGUGAAAAUAUAGGAUGUUCUUGCACUUCAUAAUUUUCUCAUACAACUCGUCAAGCUCCUGUUAAGUUUAUUGUUCUCAAUCACAUGCUGUGACUUCUCUCCUCCUCAGCUGAUUGAACUUUACUUGGUGACAGUUAUUACUGUAUGCCCAACUGCAAGACAUGUAGUAGCAUCAAAACUUAGAUGAUAUUGUGAUGUCGAAGUAGUUUAUAUAUAGAUCCUAUGAGGAUGGAUGGAUAGUUCGAAAACCUACGAGAUGAAGAAUCACAAUCAGGUGACCUAUACGAGAAGGUAAGUAUCUGAUGGAUCCGAUGUUGGUCAGGUUCCAUCAUAAUAGUACAGUUAUUGUCCUUGAAUUUGCAUGUUUACUUGAUUGACAGAAAAUUUAAGGAUUAAACACCUCUGAUUGAAACUCCAUGGAUUUUAUGCUUCCCUGAUAUAUUCGAUAUUCUCGGACACUCGUUUGUUAUCUUUCAUUCCAAAUUACCUCUGACUUCCCUCAUGCUAGUUGCUUGUAUGGAUAUGUGCAGAAUGCUAAUUCGGUGUGGAAGCCAGCAAACUGACGUCUGCUUGCAUUUGUUUCUGCUAUUGAUAGUUAUUGCUGCUAUGUUCUGCUUAAGCAUAUUCGUGAAUUGGCAUCCGCUUUACAUUAUCAUUAGAUAUCUGUUGUGCCAUGCCCAUCAAUUCCUCUUGUAUAUUCUGGCGAUACUGGUCGUUGUAGCACUGCUUGUGGUGAAAAUAUAGGAUGUCCUUGCAUUUAAAAAAAAAAAUUGUUUUAUAACAGCCAAGGUUUUAUUCAGGGCAGUACCUUAACUAAGAAUUUGCAGACAUAAGCUUGUGGCGAGAUAUAGGCUAGGACAACAACCAGCAAAUGCUCGGGCAGAGCUUGAAAGGACAGUAGGCGCAGGGCUUCACUGGCUUAAUGGAUGAGAGCAGUCGCUUCGUGACUUGGCGUCAUCUAUUUGUGUAUUAUACUCAAUGCUUUAGACUUUCUGAGAACGCCUUAGAUGUAUACUCGAACAAAGAAUAUUAUUGUGAUUAAAGAUGAAAAUGAUUACCUAAUA